UACAGAGGUGGCAAGCGUUGUUCGGAAUUACUGGGCGUAAAGGGCGCGUAGGCGGCCUGAUAAGUCGGGGGUGAAAGUCAGCGGCUCAACCGCUGGACUGCCUUCGAGACUGUCGGGCUUGAGCAUGGUAGAGGCUGGCGGAAUUCCCGGUGUAGCGGUGGAAUGCGUAGAGAUCGGGAAGAACAUCGGUGGCGAAGGCGGCCAGCUGGGCCAUUGCUGACGCUGAUGCGCGACAGCGUGGGGAGCAAACAGG
rnacentral:rRNA from 1 species